CAAAUAUAGACUGUUACAAACAGACAAGCAGAUUAAUGUUGCAGCUACAUUAAGCAGCAGCUAAUGACUACAACUACACUCAAACUCAUUGACAAACCUGUAGUACACUACACAUCUUACGACCACAUGGACGUGGAGCUGGACAACGUGGAAGUGUUUGACCUGCGAAGCCAGAGGACAGACAGCAGCUUAGUAAAGUUGAAGAAUGUGUAAAGAAGAGAAAUAAUGAAAUAAACAACACUGAUGUCUCAGCUUGGCAGAAGGAAGAUAACAGAUGAUAUUAAAGGUGUGAAUUUAUCCCAACUGAGCAAGACACUGAGUGGCGACGGUGGCAAGGAAAAACUCCCUAAGAUGUUUUAAGAGGAAGAAACCUUGAGAGGAACCCGACUCAGAAGGGAACCCAUCCUCAUCUGGGUAACAACAGAUAUUGUGAAAAAGUUCAUUAUGGAUUUAUAUGAAGUCUGUAUGGCGUUAAGAGCAGCCGUAGUCCCAGCAGUCUGGAAUUAGAGAAGAUUUGAGCUCCAUCCAGAGGCAGAAAGGAUCUGGAUCUCUAGUAUCUCCAUAAAUUCGUGUGGGGCUCGGUGAAAGGAGAGAGGGAGAAAAAAGAUAAUUAUGACUGCGAAGUAGUAGAACAGAAUCUAGUCAGGGUAGGCUUGAGUAAACAAAUAUGUUUUAAGCCUAGACUUAAACACUGAGACUGUGUCUGAGUCCCGAACACUAAUAGGAAGACUGUUCCAUAACUGUGGGGCUCUAUAAGAGAAAGCUCUUCCCCCUGCUGUAGCCUUCACUAUUCCAGGUACCGUCAGAUAGCCUGCAUCUUUUGAUCUAAGUAGGCGUGGCGGAUCAUAUAAAACCAAAAGGUCACUUAGAUAUUGUGGCGCGAGACCAUUUAGUGCUUUAUAGGUUAAUAAAAGUAUUUUAUAAUUAAUGCGAGAUUUUACUGGGAGCCAAUGCAGUAUUGAUAAUAUCAGUGUGAUAUGGUCAUAUCUUCUAGUUCUAGUUAGGACUCUAGCAGC
ensembl:lncRNA